GACGAACGCUGGCGGCGUGCCUAAUACAUGCAAGUUGAACGCUUGAUUUUCACCGAAGCUUGCUUCACCGAAAAUCAAGAGUAGCGAACGGGUGAGUAACGCGUGGGUAACCUACCUUUCAGCGGGGGAUAACUAUUGGAAACGAUAGCUAAUACCCGCAUAACAAUGUUGGAUGCAUAUUCGACAUUUGAAAGUAUCAAUUGGUACACUGAGAGAUGGACCCGCGUUGUAUUAGCUAGUUGGUAGUGUAAUGGACUACCAAGGCGAUGAUACAUAGCCGACCUGAGAGGGUGAUCGGCCACAUUGGGACUGAGACACGGCCCAAACUCCUACGGGAGGCAGCAGUAGGGAAUCUUCGGCAAUGGAUGAAAGUCUGACCGAGCAACGCCGCGUGAGUGAAGAAGGUUUUCGGAUCGUAAAACUCUGGUUGUUAGAGAAGAACGUUGCAUAGAGUGGAAAAUUAUGCAAGUGACGGUAUCUAACCAGAAAGGGACGGCUAACUACG
rnacentral:rRNA from 1 species